GCCGGAAUGGCUCAGUGGUAGUGCGUCUCUCCACCAUCCCACACUCAGCCCUUACCAGCAACUAACAUCCCGAUAGGAGCGUCGCACUCGUAGCUUGCGUAAUGCGAAGGCCCACGGUUCAAUCCCGUGUUUCGGCA